rnacentral:ncRNA from 1 species
GUUUUUCAAUACUAAUCCUGCACAGUUAAAGAGCAACGGCAGGUUCAAGCAUUUGGUGUCUUUGCUAGGCUGAAGAGCAAAUGGUGCAAAGCUACCAUCUGCAGGAUUAUGAUUGAAUGCCUCUAAGUCAGAAUAACUCCUACAACAGUGAAAC